GAUGAACGCUGGCGGCGUGCCUAAUACAUGCAAGUCGAGCGAACGGACGAGAAGCUUGCUUCUCUGAUGUUAGCGGCGGACGGGUGAGUAACACGUGGAUAACCUACCUAUAAGACUGGGAUAACUUCGGGAAACCGGAGCUAAUACCGGAUAAUAUUUUGAACCGCAUGGUUCAAAAGUGAAAGACGGUCUUGCUGUCACUUAUAGAUGGAUCCGCGCUGCAUUAGCUAGUUGGUAAGGUAACGGCUUACCAAGGCAACGAUGCAUAGCCGACCUGAGAGGGUGAUCGGCCACACUGGAACUGAGACACGGUCCAGACUCCUACGGGAGGCAGCAGUAGGGAAUCUUCCGCAAUGGGCGAAAGCCUGACGGAGCAACGCCGCGUGAGUGAUGAAGGUCUUCGGAUCGUAAAACUCUGUUAUUAGGGAAGAACAUAUGUGUAAGUAACUGUGCACAUCUUGACGGUACCUAAUCAGAAAGCCACGGCUAACUACGUGCCAGCAGCCGCGGUAAUACGUAGGUGGCAAGCGUUAUCCGGAAUUAUUGGGCGUAAAGCGCGCGUAGGCGGUUUUUUAAGUCUGAUGUGAAAGCCCACGGCUCAACCGUGGAGGGUCAUUGGAAACUGGAAAACUUGAGUGCAGAAGAGGAAAGUGGAAUUCCAUGUGUAGCGGUGAAAUGCGCAGAGAUAUGGAGGAACACCAGUGGCGAAGGCGACUUUCUGGUCUGUAACUGACGCUGAUGUGCGAAAGCGUGGGGAUCAAACAGGAUUAGAUACCCUGGUAGUCCACGCCGUAAACGAUGAGUGCUAAGUGUUAGGGGGUUUCCGCCCCUUAGUGCUGCAGCUAACGCAUUAAGCACUCCGCCUGGGGAGUACGACCGCAAGGUUGAAACUCAAAGGAAUUGACGGGGACCCGCACAAGCGGUGGAGCAUGUGGUUUAAUUCGAAGCAACGCGAAGAACCUUACCAAAUCUUGACAUCCUUUGACAACUCUAGAGAUAGAGCCUUCCCCUUCGGGGGACAAAGUGACAGGUGGUGCAUGGUUGUCGUCAGCUCGUGUCGUGAGAUGUUGGGUUAAGUCCCGCAACGAGCGCAACCCUUAAGCUUAGUUGCCAUCAUUAAGUUGGGCACUCUAAGUUGACUGCCGGUGACAAACCGGAGGAAGGUGGGGAUGACGUCAAAUCAUCAUGCCCCUUAUGAUUUGGGCUACACACGUGCUACAAUGGACAAUACAAAGGGCAGCGAAACCGCGAGGUCAAGCAAAUCCCAUAAAGUUGUCCUCAGUUCGGAUUGUAGUCUGCAACUCGACUACAUGAAGCUGGAAUCGCUAGUAAUCGUAGAUCAGCAUGCUACGGUGAAUACGUUCCCGGGUCU
rnacentral:rRNA from 1 species